GAAGCAGGCCGGGCGAUCGCCGUCGCGGAUUUUUCCGCGGCGGAGGAAAGUCGGGACUCCACAGGGCAGCGUAGCGGGUAACGCCCGUCCGCCGUGAGGCGCGGAUCAGAGGAACAGAGACGAGCCGGUUGAGUCCGGGUGAAACGGCCAAUCUCUACGCGGAGCAACACCAAAUAGGCAGGCGACGACGGGGCCCCCCGAGCCUGCGGGUAGGUGGCUCGAGCGCCGCGGCAACGCGUCGCCAAGAGGAAUGAUCGUCAUAUUGCCGCGAGGCAGUAACAGAAUCCCGCUUACAGGCUUGCUUCACAC
rnacentral:RNase_P_RNA from 1 species